GACGAACGCUGGCGGCGUGCUUAACACAUGCAAGUCGAACGCUGAAGCUCAGCUUUUGUUGGGUGGAUGAGUGGCGAACGGGUGAGUAACACGUGAGUAACCUGCCUCCUUCUUUGGGAUAACGCCCGGAAACGGGUGCUAAUACUGGAUAUUCACUGGUCUUCGCAUGGGGGUGGGGGGAAAGGGUGUUUCUGGUGGGGGAUGGGCUCGCGGCCUAUCAGCUUGUUGGUGGGGUGAUGGCCUACCAAGGCUUUGACGGGUGGUCGGCCGGAGAGGGUGCCUGGUCACAUUGGGACCGAGAUACGGCCCGGACUCCGACGGGGGGCAGCAGUGGGGAAAAUUGCGCAGUAGGCGCCAGCCUGGGGCAGCGACGCCGCGUGAGGGGUGGCGGCCUUCGUGUUGUGAACCUCUUUCGCUCAUGGUCAAGCCGCAACAAUGGUUGUAGUGAGGGUAGUGGGUAAAGAAGCGCCGGCUAACUACGUG
rnacentral:rRNA from 1 species